rnacentral:snRNA from 1 species
AUCGCUUCUUGGCCUUUUGGCUAAGAUCAAGUGCAGUAUCUGUUCUUAUCAGUUUAAAAUAUCUUCACUAAUUAAUUCCCUUUUAAUGUGCACAAAUUUGGUGCACUGGGCUGCUAGUAUAAUAAUAAUUUUUGUGAAUUUAU